rnacentral:rRNA from 1 species
UACGUAGGGUGCAAGCGUUAAUCGGAAUUACUGGGCGUAAAGCGUGCGCAGGCGGUUUUGUAAGACAGAUGUGAAAUCCCCGGGCUUAACCUGGGAAUGGCAUUUGGGACUGCAAGGCUGGAGUUUGGCAGAGGAGACUGGAAUUCCUGGUGUAGCAGUGAAAUGCGUAGAUAUCAGGAGGAAUACCGAUGGCGAAGUCAGGUCUCUGGGCUAUAACUGACGCUCAUGCACGAAAGCGUGGGGAGCAAACAGG